CAUUUGCCAUGCCAAGUUAGCCAGCUAUGCGCGUCUGCCAUUCAUCGAUUUUUAUUCCUUAGAAAAAAACACCGAGCGUCCGGUGCAGACUGAAUUUUUAUAAAACCAAAUCUCAACGAACACUGGUUUCUCUGGAUGUUUGAUGGAACCAAAGUAAUCACCAUAUUGGAGGGAAGCUUGUUACCUUAUACAUUUCGUAAUCUUUUGCGCGAAACGAAAGUCCGGUGAAAGAAAUCUGCUCGAAGACGGCGUUUCCGCUUUACUUUAUGCUGCCGAACGGAUAAUUUCAAGCAUACGAACCUUUUCGGAGGUUAAACGUGCUAACAACUGAGGUUCAGGAUAAGGCAUAUCGCUCACCAGGUUCUGCAGUCCAGCUAAAACACGGUUCAACAAGAUAGCUUUGCGCGAAUUGUCUGCAUGUGUAUAAGAGGCGACAAAACGGUCCUACUACGCCGGUCGAAGUAACCUAUCCGGGCCGAUCUCUAAAGGGCGAAGGUUGGCAAAGCAGGAUUUAUUGACCUCUACUGUCAGUAGAAACGAGAUCGGCACACAACGACCGCCAAGCCAACUAAGCACUAACAAAGAAUGACUGCAGGCUACGGUUACGAAAUCAAACAAGGCCGGGUGCUGACAGCAAAUAUGGGCCUGCCCUGUCAAAUGACAGGCCGACCAUUUAAAUGUAAUUGGGCGUAAUUGUUGGCGCGAUCUUGUGUCGUACGUCUGGCGGGAUAUGCAAGCUGGGUACUGCCUUCGUAUAAUCCAUAAUAUGAUUCGCCUAGAAUGAUUACAGCGGUGUGUGUAUGAAAGGAAAGCUAAUUUCAACCGGGUUAUUGGUUACAAAAAACUGUGGGGAACGCAACAAGCAUCAAUUGUUAAGUCAAAGAAAACGGUGAAGGGGUAUUACGUCACGUUACGAAAAGUAUAAAUAUCGUUUAUCUUAUUCCAGAAUAAAGUAAGCUCUAUGUCUUAUCAUCCCGUUUUGGUUUCCUAAACAUUAAACGAUAUUGUAACAAACGACACCGAUACUGUACAUUUACUUUAAAAAGGUACAUCUUAAUGUAGCAAAAUCUUCUACCAAAUAAACUAUGUCGAAAGAUGAUAAAUUGACAGAACAGCGGAGAAUUAUUUCGAA